CUUUGACUUAUACUUUUUUGGCUUCCUUCUCCAGCAAGAAAUAGUUGGAAGAGAAGUUUCACUAGCACUUCUUAAGAAGACAACAACAGAUAGUUUGUGAAGUCCUCUCUAUUCUAGCAACGAGUGUCUAGCAUGGUGUCUAGCAACAUGUUUGUCAUUGAUCCCAGCAAACAACCCAAAGAUUGAGGCAAAAGUCGUGAGACCUGGAUGACUUUCCGGGUACAAGCUAUAAACCUUCAAAUUGGCUC
rnacentral:lncRNA from 1 species